rnacentral:rRNA from 1 species
GUUUGAUCAUGGCUCAGAUUGAACGCUGGCGGCAGGCCUAACACAUGCAAGUCGAGCGGAAACGAGUUAUCUGAACCUUCGGGGAACGAUAACGGCGUCGAGCGGCGGACGGGUGAGUAAUGCCUAGGAAAUUGCCCUGAUGUGGGGGAUAACCAUUGGAAACGAUGGCUAAUACCGCAUAAUGCCUACGGGCCAAAGAGGGGGACCUUCGGGCCUCUCGCGUCAGGAUAUGCCUAGGUGGGAUUAGCUAGUUGGUGAGGUAAGGGCUCACCAAGGCGACGAUCCCUAGCUGGUCUGAGAGGAUGAUCAGCCACACUGGAACUGAGACACGGUCCAGACUCCUACGGGAGGCAGCAGUGGGGAAUAUUGCACAAUGGGCGCAAGCCUGAUGCAGCCAUGCCGCGUGUGUGAAGAAGGCCUUCGGGUUGUAAAGCACUUUCAGUCGUGAGGAAGGUAGUGUAGUUAAUAGCUGCAUUAUUUGACGUUAGCGACAGAAGAAGCACCGGCUAACUCCGUGCCAGCAGCCGCGGUAAUACGGAGGGUGCGAGCGUUAAUCGGAAUUACUGGGCGUAAAGCGCAUGCAGGUGGUUUGUUAAGUCAGAUGUGAAAGCCCGGGGCUCAACCUCGGAAUUGCAUUUGAAACUGGCAGACUAGAGUACUGUAGAGGGGGGUAGAAUUUCAGGUGUAGCGGUGAAAUGCGUAGAGAUCUGAAGGAAUACCGGUGGCGAAGGCGGCCCCCUGGACAGAUACUGACACUCAGAUGCGAAAGCGUGGGGAGCAAACAGGAUUAGAUACCCUGGUAGUCCACGCCGUAAACGAUGUCUACUUGGAGGUUGUGGCCUUGAGCCGUGGCUUUCGGAGCUAACGCGUUAAGUAGACCGCCUGGGGAGUACGGUCGCAAGAUUAAAACUCAAAUGAAUUGACGGGGGCCCGCACAAGCGGUGGAGCAUGUGGUUUAAUUCGAUGCAACGCGAAGAACCUUACCUACUCUUGACAUCCAGAGAACUUUCCAGAGAUGGAUUGGUGCCUUCGGGAACUCUGAGACAGGUGCUGCAUGGCUGUCGUCAGCUCGUGUUGUGAAAUGUUGGGUUAAGUCCCGCAACGAGCGCAACCCUUAUCCUUGUUUGCCAGCGAGUAAUGUCGGGAACUCCAGGGAGACUGCCGGUGAUAAACCGGAGGAAGGUGGGGACGACGUCAAGUCAUCAUGGCCCUUACGAGUAGGGCUACACACGUGCUACAAUGGCGCAUACAGAGGGCGGCCAACUUUGCGAGAGUGAGCCGAAUCCCAAAAAGUGCGUCGUA